GAAAUAUUUCCUUUCUUUGAGUAUUGUAUGUGUAGUACAUGAAUCAACUAGGCAAAUACUUUUACAGUUGGACUUUGAUCCAAGUUCGCUUUGUGAUAUAUCCAUAUUUGCUAUCCCAUAGUUUGACAUACAAAAAAGAUACACGAACAUAAGAAUAAACAAGUUCAAUUCAUUUGUAUCACAUAAUAUUUUCGAAAUCUGCUGCUAACAGUUGACUAACAAAAUCAGAUAUGUUAUCCA
rnacentral:lncRNA from 1 species